UAUAGAAGAGAAGAGCUGCAAUGAGCAAGAGGCUCUUUGACUGACCAAAGGGGGGGCUAGAAAACUAGAGCCAGAAGGCUGAACUCCAUUUUGAAAGGACUGGAAGUGACACCUUCAUGAAGAGCAGAUGGGGACAGAAGAAGAGCUCCAGCUGUGGUAGAAGAUGCCAGAGGUACUGAUCUGUGUGUGCACAUAUCGUAUAUGUACAUCUAAAAAGGAGGGUCGUGUUGCCUAUGCUAAAGAGUCAGCAUUUUCCUGAGCUACUAUGGAGAAGGCGGGAAAGCUCUGCAUCAGUUGACAAGGAUAUUCGACAUUGCCGGCUGACACCAACUUCAAACUACAACCUUGAGAUGAAAAACCAUUAACUCCACUGAACUAUCCAGUCCCCUGACAGCCACUUGCUUUAAAUAAAGCUCAUUUUCCUAAGUAAAUAGAAAAACUAUUGGAGUGACAAAAGUAAUUCUCUAGAGAAGCUACUCUCGCUGACCGUUGUUGGAA